GAAAUCUUUUGUGCGCGUGUGUGUGUGUAUGUGAAUGUGUGUGUGUGUGCGUGCACUCUAUAUACAUUUCAGCCGAGAGUCUAACGAGGAAUGAAACAUUUUUGAAAACAAAGAAAAGCCGUCAAGGCAUUUUGUGUAAGCAAGUUUGACAUAGCAGCUGUCAGCAGGGCCAAGACUCCUGGGAUUCAUUCUGACAAUACCAGUACAUACCCAUGUAUUAUUCCUUCAAGAGCCUUAUGAUUAUGUGACAAAAUUGUUUGUACCGGCCUUCACACCCACAAGGACCCGCUGCUUCUCACAGCUGAUGGCGUCGUGUGAAAUGCCCGGAUGUGGACGAUGUAGUCGCACUUCAUGGCUGCAGAGACAAGUCGACCUUUCGCUGUAUGGAAACCUUCAUAGCCCACCACACAUGGCGACACGGCUGGCUGCAGUGAGCGGCGCUCACGUGAAUGCUUAAGUACCCUGCGGUGUAAUCAGAUGCCACACACGUUUGUGGGGGACCUGACCUCUCUGGGCACCGAAGUCGUAAAUAAGUAAACAGAGCUUUGCUUCACACACACACACUUCUACAUCACCAUGAUGAGGAUGGGAGGAGAAGCUGGGAGCGAGUGUUGAAAGAGGGAGGAAUAGAAAAAAAAGGAGGAAGACUGAUUAAGAGAGGAAGAAGAAAAAUAAAAAACUCGGCCAAAUGA